rnacentral:ncRNA from 1 species
UCUUAUCAAGAGUGGUGGAGGGAAAGGCCCUAUGAAACCCAGCAACCAGCGUGAAAUAACGCAUUGGUGCCAAAUCCUGCAGUUUAACUGCAAGAUAAG